ACUCUCAGGCCAACGAGGUGGGCAGGCCUGCUGCUAGGUGACCGAGUCCUCUUUGGCGGUUUUAAUUUCCCCAGCAACUUGCUCGCCUUCUGCUGUAGCUGAAUCUGGCGCGUAAGAUUCCUGGCGGCCCAGGCCCACACCAAGGUUUGUGCCCGGCCCAGCCAGAGUGAAGUUUGAAACGGAGACCUCUGCCGGAAGGAGCGGGUCGUUGGCAGGACAGCGGUUUGGCCUCCUUCCCCUCCGCCCUUGCACAGCCUGGGGCGGUGAGGAGGGUUAAUGUGAGAUGGCACAGCAUAGGAGACUGAAGUGUGAAAGAAGUCAUAAGAAGGCUUCCUGAGGACUUUGAGGCAACAGAGUGUUGCGUUAAGACCUGACCAUGAGGCAUCAGGCCAUGCCUGCGGAGCCGUGGACAAACAUGAAGCAGUAGAACAGGGAGAACAUGCAGAAGAGAAACCGAGUCGGUGGAUGUGGGCGAGAAGAAACCUGACAACUCACCUGUUUCCAGAAGAGUCAGUUGAGCCAAGAUGGAAGUGAGGGGUUUGUCAGGUAGAGUAAAAGGCAUCAAGGUGGUUUCACAUCGAUGGCUGGACAUUUCACAUUGAUGGAGAUGUGGGAGAUGGAAGCUGGAAGGUACAUGUCCUAGUGAGCUGCUUGCACUUCAUGCUGUGUAGAGAAAGUAGUGUUAAUAGCUUUAAGAAAGUGAAGAUGUUGGGUACAGUGCGGAAUGAAUAUUUAAUGAUUCACAAUAUGUAACUGCCAGUUGACUUUAAAAAAAAAACGUUUAUAAUAACCUAUCCUCCUCCUAACAAUUCAAAGCCCUGGGCACGGCAUCCCUGCACCAAGCCCUUUUCACUGAAAGCAGCCUUUGAGAUUUUGGUUGGAGAAAAGAUUCCUGCUCAGAGCUAUACUUCUUUGAGUAAACAUUUUUUUUCACCUGUUUUGCCCUCA
rnacentral:lncRNA from 1 species